ACAGAUAUACCACAUUGAAAACCUCGGUUCUCGUCCAAUCAUUGAAGUUAAGCAAUGUCGGGUCCGGUCAGUACUUGGGAGGGUGACCACCUAAGAACAUCAGGUGUAUGCUGUAAGCU